rnacentral:rRNA from 2 species
UACGGAGGGUGCGAGCGUUGUCCGGAAUCACUGGGCGUAAAGGGCGCGUAGGCGGUGGCUUAAGCGUGUGGUGAAAGUCCGGGGCUCAACCCCGGAUCGGCCGUGCGAACUGGGUCACUUGAGCACUGUAGAGGCAGGUGGAAUUCCGGGUGUAGCGGUGGAAUGCGUAGAGAUCCGGAAGAACACCAGGGGCGAAGGCGGCCUGCUGGGCAGUGGCUGACGCUGAGGCGCGACAGCGUGGGGAGCAAACAGG